rnacentral:rRNA from 1 species
UACGUAGGGUGCAAGCGUUGUCCGGAAUUAUUGGGCGUAAAGAGCUCGUAGGCGGUCUGUUGCGUCGGCUGUGAAAACCCGGGGCUCAACUCCGGGCCUGCAGCCGAUACGGGCAGACUAGAGUUCGGCAGGGGAGACUGGAAUUCCUGGUGUAGCGGUGAAAUGCGCAGAUAUCAGGAGGAACACCGGUGGCGAAGGCGGGUCUCUGGGCCGAUACUGACGCUGAGGAGCGAAAGCGUGGGGAGCGAACAGGAU